CGAACGGGUGAGUAACGCGUGAGGAACCUGCCUCAAAGAGGGGGACAACAGUUGGAAACGACUGCUAAUACCGCAUAAGCCCACGGCUCGGCAUCGAGCAGAGGGAAAAGGAGCGAUCCGCUUUGAGAUGGCCUCGCGUCCGAUUAGCUAGUUGGUGAGGUAACGGCCCACCAAGGCGACGAUCGGUAGCGGGACUGAGAGGUUGAACGGCCACAUUGGGACUGAGACACGGCCCAG
rnacentral:rRNA from 1 species